rnacentral:lncRNA from 1 species
UUAAACUAUUUCCUAGUGCUACUAAUCUGAACUCAACCAUCUAACUCUGAACCUCUGCUUACCUCUUGCUUUGUCUUCAGAACUAGUAGUGAGAGUUGUGAACUGAGAAGACCAUGUUGAAAGGGGGCACCGCCAAGGCAGCACUGCCCAGGAUGGGAGCCCCAGAGCGUGCAAAGCUGUCUGCCAACAGCUCCCAAAGCUCAUAUUCCAGCAACUUUGGGAUGAAGACCUCUAGAUCGUCCAGCACCAUUGCCUCUGAUCUGCGACUCAGCAAGAUAAAAAGAGCGAGCAGUGAUGAUGCUCUGGCUAAACCUGUUCUGGGUUCAGUGGCUGCAGUCUCCCGCAUAAAGAAGACCGUCACCACAGGAGCCAUCUCUGAGCUUUCAGACAAUAGACCACGCAGCGCUUCAAGUAGGAUUUUAUAUCUUACAAUCUCAUAAAACUAAUAAAGUCAUGCAAGAUUUCCUAAUAGUGUGAAGUCUUAAAAUUACUCAGCAAUGACUUAAAUAAUGCUUAAUUUAUAUCUUAACUGGGAAGUAUUGUUUGGAUUGAAUACUUUAUAUUUCAAAUGUCCAUUUUUCAUAAUAAAGAUAUUUAAACACAGGAGAUGCACUCAGUACAUGAAAUAUGAUGAAAUUGUAAACAAACAAACAGACUAUUUAAUUUGUCAUCAUUUACUCAACCUUUAUGUCCAAAAUUUGGUACAGACUAAAAUAUAUAUAUUUUUAAAUGUUUGUAACCAAACUUUUUUUAUGAUCUAAAGAAAGAAAGUCGUACAGGUUUAAAACAACAUGAGCAUGAGUAAAUAAUAUAAGAAUUUAAAUUUUUAAGUAGGAAAUAUUAAUUAUUAGGGGAACUAUCCCUUUAAUGUCUUGGAAUAAAAUAUAAAUAAAAUAUAAAAUAUAAAUAAAAAAAAUCACAGCACAGGUUGAGUGCAGAUGAUCACCUCUAGAGGGCACCAGGACACUGUUUUCUGAUAAUGAAGAUCCCUUUGAUUCAUUUCCUGUUCUGCGAUGCAUUAGUUCUGACUCUGAGUUCCUUUUUAAUGCAUCUGUUGGUUUAUGGACAGGCUCUGUUGUAUGCAGGUGGGGGCACUUCAAUAUUUAAAAAAGAUCAUUCAUUGGACUUGGACUGUACUAGAAGAAAAAAGGUAGUUGAUUUGUGUUCUUAGCAGAAAUAAACAGAAUCCAAAGCUGAUAUAAUAUGGAAAACAUGAUUUUUCUCCAGUCUUAGAUUAUGGAAACAGGGUUAAAAAUGGUAUAAAAAGGGUUUAAUUCACUUCUAAUUGGAUUGUUUUUGAGAAAUGUUAUGAGGCACUGUGUCUUUGUAGAGUGCAUGUGUUCUCUUUGAACAUUGUUAGGGUCAUAUUUAACUUGUUGCACUGGACUGAUGGAAUCUGAUUUUAAUAACUGCUCUUUCAUCAACAUUCCCACACAUGGAAAAAAGAUGCAAGUUAGACAUUGUGUUGAACAGGAAUGCUGUCUGCCUGCAUCACUUCUGUGGGAUUGGCUCUGUGGUACAAUGCCAGUGUCAGGGUGUAGCAGAGUUCUUUGAAAUUCUUUGUGAUGCUAGGAUGGCUGUUUUAUCUGUAGGCAAAGGAGGUGCUAAUGUGCUCAAUUAGUGGGGUGAAUGAGGACAUGAAAAAUAGAAUAGAUAGAAUAUAAUUGAUAUCAUCAUGGUUACAUACUAGACAAAAUUAUUCUAGGAAAUAUGGGAUUUUUAUUUGUUUUUUUGUAAAGAGAUAGUUCACCUAAAUCCUCAAAUUGUGCCGUUAUUCACAUCACCCUCAUGUCAUUUAUGUGGAAUAAAAAUCUUCUGUGGCCCAUCAUUUUUAAAGCAUUCCUAUAUUCUUUAUCUGAAAUAGAAAAAGGUUUAAAAGUUUGAGAUCGUUAAUUUUUUUUGAUGUUUUAUGGGUAUUAAAAAAAAGGAGCGGGCAGAAAGAUGUCUUUUAUGUUCACCCAAGCUGCAUUUAUUUAAAAAAAAAGUUCCACCCCUACACAUAACCCUUAGUGGGACAUUAGUUCAUACAAAAAUGUUCAAAUAAGAUUCACAUGAAUUAGCCACCAAUUUGUCAGAAUGUAAAAUAGUUAUGAAUCGCCAAAUAAAGUUUGAAGCAGGCAUUAAGAAUCCUUUGCAGCCACUGCUACAGUAUAUGACAACUCACGUCACCUUAGCCAACCAUAACAGGGCCUCAUCAAUAUUUAAAUUAAACUUUCCUUUGCUGUUAGGUCUCCAAAGAGAAAUGAAGAGAGAGGCACAUCCAUGGUCUCUCUUCUAUAAAUAACAUCUAUGCAUGUGUUAGUGGACAACAUUUUGCUUAAGGUCAAAUGUCAUUCUGUCUCAUUAAUUAACGAUCCUAUUUAUUCAGUUUCCAAUACACAACACUUCACAAAGAUCUGUGAUGCUGUAUCAGUCACCAUAUAGAGACUGGGUGCUUAUGUGGACAAUUAGGCUGGAUGUAAUAGCGCUUAUGUCAUUGUGAGACGUAUUAAGUGUAUGACUCAGUGUUGUGGAUUUAGCAUACGUGUGAAUAGUGCAUUGGCACUGUCAGCUUACAGGAGUUCAGACUCACAGUCUGGCUCAGCUGACGUUGAUGGAUAAUUAGUUAGAGCUGCCGUGGUAAUCUCUCUUGAAUGUAGGCAGUGUUGCAGCUCUGCAAAAUAAAUUCUGUAAAAAUACUACUGUUCAAAAGAUUUUUCUUUAUUGUUCGAAAGAAAUUGAUUCAUUUACUUAACAAGGAUGCAUUAAAUUGAUCAAUUUCUUUCUAGAAAAUUAGGUAGCAAAUUGACAUUUAAAAUUAACAGCAUGAACACUUGGCUGAUAGCAGAGAUGCUUGCAAUGCCCGUAAAAUUGCUUUAUAUUCCUAGCAACUAAUAUUUUUUGACAUUUUUUCAUCUUUAUCUUGUGUUGUCUAUUUAGCCCAGAGUUAAUCAGAGGUUCUGCCUUCAGUGUGUUCCCUGAUUGCUUCCAUAUUGCAAACCAUACGGAUUGCCUUUUUAAAUAUUAAUGCUGGUUUGACCUUCUCACUCUAAAAAAUGCUGGGUUAAAUACAACCCAGUGUUGGGUAAAAUAUGGACAAACCCAGCGCUGGGUUGUAUUUAACCCAGCAUUUAACAUGGCAGGGUGAAGAAAUGAUUCUCCUGUGCUGAGUUAUUUGGAUUUGUUUUCACAGACUGUGUGAAAGUAAGGCUACCCAUCACUGACUUGACCUUGAUCUGCAUUGUGCCAUGAUAUACAAUAUUAUUAGAGGAGUAUGUCAAUCUUAAUGCUGCUAAAACAGCUUAAGCACUUACUAGUUUGAAACACUAAACGACUAUUGUGGUUGCUGAAAUCUCGCCACCUGCACAACGUUGGUAGGGCCAUUACCUCAGCAGGGAUUUGAGACAUGCAUAGUAACUCCCUCUGUUUUAGAAAUGUUAGAACAGAACAUUAUUUAGAGUCCCAGCCUCAGAUGAGUCAAGAGGGCAGUGGAUUUAUUGAUUUAUUUACUGUAUAUUGCUGCUGCCACACAGAUCUAAAAAUGAACAUGUGAUUUAUUUCCCAGCAAUUUACCUUCACAGACAUAACUGACUGUUUUUUGAAACUCAUGCGUUUUUAACGUAAACUUCUGUGUGAAUGAGAACUUUUUUAUAUAACUUUUUAUAUAACUUUUUUAUAUUGACUUUUUUUUAUUUAUCAUUUACUUAAGAUGUAUAUA